GUGCUUGCUUCGGCAGCACAUAUCCUAAAAUGGAACGAUACAGAGAAGAUUAGCAUGGCCCUCGCGCAAGGAUGACACGCGAAUUCAUGAAGCAUUCCAUAUUUUA
rnacentral:snRNA from 1 species